rnacentral:lncRNA from 1 species
GGUUGCGAUCAUACCAGCACUAAUGCACCGGAUCCCAUCAGAACUCCGCAGUUAAGCGUGCUUGGGCGAUACGGGUGCCACGGAUCAUAUGGUUGGCUCUCCUCAGUCUUGCAGCAGAGUUCUCCAUAUUUAGGUGACACCAAAGUGACUUUUGGCAGUGGUAACUCUCUCCCUAUAUCUCAUAUUGGUGACAAAACCAUUACUACAAACGUUCGAUUGCAGGAUGUUUUGGUCGUUCCUCAGUUAAGCGUGCAGAACUCCGCAGUUAAGCGUGCUUGGGCGAGAGUAGUACUAGGAUGGGUGACCCCCUGGGAAGUCCUCGUGUUGCAACCCC